rnacentral:rRNA from 1 species
GAAUCAACGCUGGCGGCGUGCCUAACACAUGCAAGUCGAACGCGAAAGUCCCGAAAGGGAUGAGUAGAGUGGCAAACGGGUGAGUAACGCGUGGGUGACCUGCCUUCGAGUGGGGAUAACGUUCCGAAAGGACGCUAAUACCGCAUGACAUCCUGCUUUUGAAGGGUGGAGAUCAAAGCCGGGGAUCGCAAGACCUGGCGCGUCGAAGACGGGGCCCGCGUCCGAUUAGCUAGUUGGUGGGGAACGCUCACCAA